UACGUAGGUGGCAAGCGUUGUCCGGAAUUAUUGGGCGUAAAGCGCGCGCAGGUGGUCCUUUAAGUCUGAUGUGAAAGCCCACGGCUCAACCGUGGAGGGUCAUUGGAAACUGGGGGACUUGAGUGCAGAAGAGGAUAGUGGAAUUCCAAGUGUAGCGGUGAAAUGCGUAGAGAUUUGGAGGAACACCAGUGGCGAAGGCGGCGACCUGGGCCAAUAUUGACGCUGAGGUGCGAAAGCGUGGGGAGCAAACAGG
rnacentral:rRNA from 1 species